rnacentral:lncRNA from 12 species
GUUUUAUUCCCUGUCCCCAAAAGGGGAACUCUGUCCUGUGUUUCGAAUGGUUCAUUCGCUUGCUCUUCUUUAUGGUUGUGACUACUGCGUGUCUCCUCCAAACAGCGGGAUGAUUUACUUGCGUAUUUCUAACUCUAGUCGCAUAGACUCACACUGUAUUUUCUUCUGCACCUUUUUUUUCUUGUUUUAACUCUACGUUUUUUUUCCUGAGCUUCUUGCCUGCAGACUGUGGUUCAUUUCUUUUUUUUUUUUUUUUUUUUUCCUGUGGUUCAUUUCUUUUUAGUGCCGGGUAAAAUUCCGGUGUGGGAACGCACCAUGAACCCCCGUCCUCCAGUUGUAGGAUGUCAGGCUGCUGUAAACAUUGGGCUCUGGCCAGCUGACCUCUGAGGCACUGGCCAGAAGCCCCAGACUUGGAGGCCAUUGCUAGUUCUCUGCUUUUCUGCUGCUCCAGAAACAAGCCCCCCCCCCCCCUUCCCAGCACAGCUCCUCUUAGCAGCCAAGGAGCCCAGGAGAGCCUGCUUCCCCAGCCUUCAGGGGUUCCCACUGUUUCCUCUCAGGAGCAGCUAGCCGGGGGCAUCAACAAGAGUCACCCUGAUGGAAUGGUCCUCCAGGAACUGAUCCUUUCUUCUUGCCGGGGAAGUUUGUGUGCAGGUUGGCUGCCCUUCCCUGGCCCCAGCUCCCAGAGCCCCACCACCCAUAGCCAUGCUGCCUCCAGGGGCCCCAUCCAAAUGGUCCCAUAGGACCCUCCUUCUCAGAUGCCCCAGCCAAAGAGUGCCAGGUCCAGGUGCCAGGAUCAACGAGUUGCCUAGAGGGAAGCAGGAUGACCUUGGAAGCCCGGAUGCGUAGCUUGGAACCCACCAUGGUCUGGAGAAGAGCCAUGGAUGCAGCUGGCAUGUGGCCCCGGUUCCAGCUCACGCCGGGGGUCAUACUCUCCACCCCCUUUCAUGUCUCACCUGCCGGCCACCUGCCCUGUGGACCUCGCCCUCCUCAGGGACAGCUUACAGGCUCCUACAGUCCUGGUGUGGAGGCAAAUCCCUGUAAAAAAUCCCCCUGCAAGAGUCGCUCAGAGGCACCUGCGGUGACAUUACGGCUUCUAUUGCCGACGUGCCCUGUGUCUCCCCAGGGGCUGGGGGUGUUCACGGCGGGAAGCCCAGCGACCGAGCAAGGCCUGGCUCUCCCGAGGUUCCGGGCUGUGCAUGGGCUUCCUCCCUGGCCGCAGGGGGAAUCUGCACCCCAUCUCUGACCUGUGGGGCUGGUGACCAGGGCUGGGCCUCUUCCCCACCCAGAGGACGCACCGUGGCCUGUCAGCGUCCUCGGAACCGGCUCCCUGGAUGCCACCAAGACAGAAGCCAUUUCCAGGCACCCAAUGUGGCCGGCCCAGCUGUCUCAGCAGGAAGUGUUCUCAGGAGUGUCCUUUUUGUUCCUGGGGGGUGGGGGCGGGGGCGAGGGCUCCGGGGCUGGGCGGGAGAAGGCAGCCUGCGGGCAUGGGCUGGCCCUUGGUCCCCCAUGUCCCCCGGGGAGGCCCCACCUGCUCCACGCAGGCCCGCUGGCCCUCCCGAUGGGCUGAGAAGGCAGUGAACGUGCGGGGAGCAGCUGGGUCCUGCAGCACAGAGCCGGAGAGGGCCACCUUCCUUCCCCCCUUCCAGCCAGGAGGACCUCCGGGAGCCGACUGCCCCAGCUCCUGGGAUAAAUGAGCAGCCCGAGGGGCUGGCCUCCAAGCCACCGCUCUUCUGCAGGGCAAGGGGCACAGGCGUGCCCAUGGGAGAGUCCUUUGCAGAAGAACAUGAACGCCCCAGACAGGGCCUUAGCCCUCUGGCUGCUGACAAAUUUCAGUGGGUGCGGCAAGAUAACGAGGUGCAUAUGCGCCUGUGUCCAGGGCUCCAGGGGCUGAAGAGGCGCCUGGGGGCUAGAGCAUCUGUGUGUCUCUGGCAGCGGGGCCUGGGGGCCAGGCAGCGGACGCCUCCCCCGCCCACCUGGUCCUCAUCACCAGGACUGGGGAUCUGGAGCCUCCCGAGCAUUUCAACUUGCAGAGCUGGCUGGACACAUUGCAUGGUGAGUGGCCAGCUGUGGUGAGUCCCAACUGUGACCUGGGUCCCCGAAGGAGGCCGCUUCCCUGUGAGACUGCAUUGAAUCACGCAGCGGCUGAGACAGGCCUUUACUCCCCCCCCCCCCCCCCACGAAGAGAUGAAAAUCCCUAAAUGCCUUCUGGCCAAGGGGACAGCUGCCUCUUUAUCCUUAAAAUGCAAGUCAGCAGGCAGUGCCUGCCCGCGGCCCCUUUGGGUUGGAGGAAGGCCACUGGCCCCUGUGACCUAACCCUGUCGAUUCCCCCAGUCUGCGUCUGAUGGGAUGUGUGUGCGGCAGUCCUGCGAGGGAGGCAGGGGCGGGGGGGCCACGUGCCUGAACAUACAGGGAGAGCCUACCGUCCAGCCAGAGCUGCACCCCAAAGGCAGGAUGGUCAUGAGCAAUGGUCAGCCAAGCGUGGAUCACGGGACCCCCAUCGGCUUCAGGUGGAUGCGAAAAAUAAUUCACGCAAGCUCAGUUCGACCCCAGCUCACCCCGUGUCCAGUGUCCCCAGCAGUUGCCUGCCGGAGGGCUCUUUGCAGUCUGGCUUCAUCUUCAGAACCACUCCUGCCCUGGAGACGCUCAGCCUUGUUACCCCCCCCACUCGGCUCAGUCUGUAGUCUCAGUGCCUUGAACCCAGACCCGUGCAGCCGACUGAUGAUUGUUGAAUGACUGAGUGAAUUCCUGGUGGGCUGUGCUAUCCCCUCUCACCGUCACUAUUUGGGCUUCGCCCUCCCUGUCCCUUGGCUCAGGACUUCUGUGUGAGGCACGUGCCUGGAUGUUUCCACUCUCGGAAAUCCUCCUACACAUCCUUCAGAACCCCACUCAAAUGUCUGCUCCGCCAGGAAGGCUUCCGUUGCCCCUGGCGAGAAGUGGUCCUUCCCUCCCUGAGCUCGGGCUAGGCGCUGAGUGAUCUCGGAGGUGUCUCUUCCCGGACUGAUGGCGCUGCUUUUUUGUUCUCAUUAAAUAUUGCAGAUGUGGCAGACUGACCUUGGCCUCAUCUCGGGUCUUUUUGAGAGGAAGCUGGAUUUCGAACGUCCCCGCAUCUCGAUGCCUCGCCUGGAAGUGCUGCUGCUGUGCCAACACUUUGAAGCUGAGUCUUAGAUCCAACCUUGUUUCCUUUGGGCGUCCGGUGUCGGGCCUGUGCCUGCUGCCAACCCCUUCACCGUGGGGUGCUUUCCAUCUCAUCUGGACCUGGGUGCCGAGUAGGACCGCCGGGUACACCUGUUCCUGUGCUCCCAGCCGCCUAGCCAGGCUCCCCGGUGCUGCUAAGGGGGUAUAUUUGGGGCGGGAACCUGCUCAGGUCCCUCUCCUGUUCACACCCAGCACAGCCUGCGCUUCUACCCGCUGGUCUAUGGGGUCAGGUUCUCCUGUGCCCCCUAGUCCUGGCCCCUUGUGUGCUUCCUGGCGCCCCUGCAUCGUUGCACACCUGUGCCCUCUGCCCGGCGUGCCCGCUCCAUUUGACUGUGCCCUGCCUGCCUUUAAGGCUGGAAUGAGGAGUCACUCAGGAGUCACGAGCCUCCGGUUGGGUUGCAUGUCUGGGCCUCGCCUCACCCCCGGGCCCGCUGGCCCCUCUUCAGCCCAUCAGGUAAAGGUCGCCAGUCCGCGAUGCGGCCCUGCGCGUUGUCUCUCUCUGUACUGCCAGCUCCCGGCCCGACCUUUGCGGGGCCCACCCUGGAGGCCGAGCAGGCCCACCCUGCAGCAGCCCAGCACGGGCUAGAUCGCCGGCUGGCCUCGUCCAUUAUGAGCAGACAUGACCACGGCGCAUGCGUGAGGGUGCUCUCCUCUCUCCGACAGCUCUCCCGCCCCCUCACUCAGUGAGGCCCCCAGAGCACGGCCUUGACUGGGUGGGGAGAUGCACCGGUCAGUCCUGCUGGCCGCCAGGCUCACCGCUCACCUCACACACCGCAUGCUUAUUUUUGCUCGCACGAUGUCCAGUGUUGACACCUUCCCCAAGAGGGACUCCUCUGGCUGUGGAGGCCACGUAGGGACGAUCCAUCGGGGAUGUGGCUGCCUUGGUCCGGAAGUGACAGCAUGGUCUUCCGAUCAUCUUCCUUUGGCCAGAACCAGACAUCCGGCCCCACCGGCAUGCUGUGGGGGUGCGGUGGGAAGGGCAGGCCCCACUGGACACCCGGCUCUGGGACCAGCUCGCUCUCUCUACCAUAGGACUUUGGGCUUGGGCACAGUGCAUGACAGCUCAGUGCCCCAGAUUUCCUGACUUUUAAAGUGAGCACAAUAAAGCUCUUGUGGGGAUUAACGUCA